rnacentral:rRNA from 1 species
GACGAACGCUGGCGGCGUGCUUAACACAUGCAAGUCGAACGGAAAGGCCCUGCUUUUGUGGGGUGCUCGAGUGGCGAACGGGUGAGUAAAACGUGAGUAACCUGCACUUGACUUUGGGAUAACUCCAGGAAACUGGGGCUAAUACCGGAUAGGAGCUCCUGCUGCAUGGUGGGGGUUGGAAAGUUUCGGCGGUUGGGGCUGGACUCGCGGCUUAUCAGCUUGUUGGUGGGGUAGUGGCUUACCAAGGGUUUGACGGGUAGCCGGCCUGGGAGGGUGACCGGCCACCUGGGGACUGAGGUAGGGCCCAGACGGCUACCGGAGGCAACGGGGGGGAAUAUUGCGCAAUGAGCCGAAGCCUGAUGCAACAACGCCGCGUUCGGGAAGACCGCCUUCUGGUUGUGAACCGCUUUCGCCGUUGACGAAGCGGGAGUGACGGUAAUGGGUAAAGAAGCACCGGCUAACUACGUG